AUCACCAGCGGACCCGCCCACCCACCCACAGGGCACAGGCAGAGAAGUGGGUUAGGAGGCUAGUGGAGGACAACGGGCAAUCUGCACGGUGUUAGGACUGUUUGGAGACAAAGGAAACGGAAAAUAAAUUGUAAAGCUGGCAAUAGUGUUCCUGAUGCAGUGCUGCCUCUAAACAAUUCACAACUAAAGUGGUAAUUUUACAAGAUGAUGCUGUACCUCCUGCUGAACCUGCUGGCGUUGUUUGCGCGACAGGACCCCAUGCCUACCUUACUUGACCCCAACUUGAAGCUCAUCUGGGAAAAGCCUACUGAUGGCUGCCUGAAAUGCCUUCCCUUCCAAACCCUAAAGAUACCCCACUACCUACUUGAGAGGAGACAUGGGAGGGGAGUUUGGAGAGGAAGUGGAGGGAGAAAGUGGACCAGAAGCAGUACAAGCUGAAGUAGGAAAUUGCUCCCUUGAAUCCUCAUAACAAUGAAGCUGCCACCCUGCCCCCUAUAAGCCCCUGUUCGUAUCAACCCUUACAUGUCCAAGUCCAGAUUGUGAAGGAAGUUUGAAAUCUAUAGACCAAUCAAGUAACUUACAAGCACACUGACGGCAAGACAAUAGACAACUGCUGAGUGCUGGAGGAUGUGGAACGAGCUAGAAUCGUCCAUGGUUCACAGCUGCAAUGACUUGGUAAAGUUUAGUUUGGAAUGACAUUUUCCCAGUUCUUUUCUCUUUUUUUCUUGCAUUGUGUUUUGCCCCUACUCCUCUCUACCCUUGUUUAUUUUUUUUCUUUUCCUCCCUUCCCUGUUUACUUGUGUUUUAUUUUAGUCCUGAUUUCUCUUUCUCAUUUUUAUUCCUUUUGUCUAUUUCUUUCAUCCUUCCUUUAUUUUUAUUCAAUUGCACCUUUCUUCCUGUGGUUCUCUUCCGAUUUCUUUCCUUUCAUUAUUUGUGUUUUCCUCAUAAUUCUUCCUUUUCCUUCUGUUUAUUCUUCUAGUUUCAGUCUGUUUAUCCUUCCCUUAUACUUAUAAAGCUGCACUUUUUUGCAACCUUUCUGACAUUGAGAAAAAUAAUCUGAGCAAAGAUUGGAAUUCUUACAUUGCUAUUCUUCUCUUGUAUGCUGUAAAAUCCAUAUUAUUAAGAAAAAAAAAAAAGUCAUCAGUGAAAUUAGGUAGAGCCUAUCAUGAUGUUCCUUUUGCAACCAUUCUGACAUUCAUUGAUGAACAAAUUUUUCUGAGUGAACAAGGAGAGCCUUGAUAAGCAGACUCCCAUUGGUCACAAAUACUAAUAUUUUGUCUUUCCUCCUGCAAUUCAUUCUCUCUCACCCCCUGUGUCUGGCUAGGUGAGUUCCUGCCACAUGAGUAUAUUUGUGUGAAGGGAUCAAUGUGUGUGUGGGCUUGACUUGACUUUUUCUGAUUUGCAAAACCACAGAGUAUUAAAAUGUACAACUGUCCCCCCUGAAUUCGUGGGUUCACUACUCGCGGAUUUGCACAUUUGUGAAUUUUCCCUAAAAUACACUAAGGCGAGUGUAAAGGAAUUUUCGCUGUGACACUCCUAACAUUCAUGAUCUGCCUGCGAAUGAUUCAGCCGUUUCUAAGGAAAGGAAGAUGUGUACAUGCAUAAAGUAGCAUAAAAUAUCAUAAUUAGCGUUAUUCAUCAGCCAUAUGUCCUGUAAACCAUACUGUAAUUAUCAGAAACCUUUUAUAGAUAUGCAGUCAUUGAAAUAUCACUUAACUAUUGGGUCCUUACCAUGAUUUUUCUGUCAUUUUCUUCUUCAACUUAAGGUGUUAAGUAUAUCAUACCAUGUGAAUUAUUUACUAAUGAAUGCUUCUCUCUUUGAAAAUCAGGUGAUAAAAAUAUUAAAUGGGUAUAAACACUGGAUCAUAAAUGCAAGCAUUUGUUCAAGUAUAAAACAUAAAUAAACGGGUCCCAUCAGCAUUAGGACUGGGCAAGUACCGGUACCAGUAUUGGUACUAACACUACUGGCCCUACAACUUAAUAAUGGUGCCAGACUGCUCAGUAUGGGUAUCAGUGGGUACUGCCAAUGCAUUAGUCACUCUUCUUGACACUGGCAGUUCAUCAUCUACACAUGUAUGCAUGUUUGGUGACCACAUUGCCAUGUCGUAUAGUCGGCACUGUUAAUACCAGUAGGGUGAGUUGGGGAGGCAUCGUACAUGUGACGGUAAUGUACAAACAUUUUUGUGGCUGUUCUAAUGAAUUUAUAUUAGUUUGCCUGUAAUAGCAGUAAAGGAAAAUAGGAGAUACUCAACAUACUGUGCGUGGUCCUGCAGUGCCAUAUGAUGCUAAAUCUUGAAAAAUAAUUUUUUGCCUCCAAAAGAAAAUUGCAGACUGUGGGGAGUACUUAACAGUUAAGUGAGAUUUUAAUGACUACAUAUAUCUAAGAAGUUUAUGUAAAUUACAGUACAGUUUAUAUUAUGUAUAAUUAAUGAAUGAUGGCAUUUAUGAUACAU